GACGAACGCUGGCGGCGUGCCUAAUACAUGCAAGUCGAACGAGAGCGACCGGUGCUUGCCCUGGUCAAUCUAGUGGCGAACGGGUGAGUAACACGUGGGUAACCUGCCCAUCAGAGGGGGAUAACAUCCGGAAACGGAUGCUAAAACCGCAUAGGUCUUCGAGCCGCAUGGCUUGAAGAGGAAAAGAGGCGCAAGCUUCUGCUGAUGGAUGGACCAGCGGUGCAUUAGCUAGUUGGUGAGGUAACGGCUCACCAAGGCCGUGAUGCAUAGCCGACCUGAGAGGGUGAUCGGCCACAUUGGGACUGAGACACGGCCCAAACUCCUACGGGAGGCAGCAGUAGGGAAUCUUCCGCAAUGGACGCAAGUCUGACGGAGCAACGCCGCGUGAGUGAAGAAGGUUUUCGGAUCGUAAAACUCUGUUGUUAGAGAAGAACAAGUGCUAGAGUAACUGUUAGCGCCUUGACGGUAUCUAACCAGAAAGCCACGGCUAACUACGUG
rnacentral:rRNA from 1 species